GGACAACGGCUGGCGGCGUGGAUUAGGCAUGCAAGUCGGACGGUAGGGCUUUAUCGUAAGAUAGAGUUUGAGAGUGGCGAACGGGUGAGUAACACGUAGGAAUCUACCCUUAAGACGGGGACAACCCAGGGAAACUUGGGCUAAUACCGGGAUGAGAGUGCGAGAGAUUGCAUUUAAAAGGAUGGCGAAAGUUGUCGCUUAGGGAUGAGCCUGCGGUCUAUUAGUUAGUUGGUGAGGUAAGAGCUCACCAAGGCGAUGAUAGAUAGGCGGCCUUAACGGGUGGUCGCCCACACUGGGAUUGAGAUACGGCCCAGACUCCUACGGGAGGCAGCAGUCGAGAAUAGUCUACAAUGGCCGGAAGGCUGAUAGUGCGACGCCGCGUGAACGAGGGAGCCCUUCGGGGUGUAAAGUUCUUUUAUAUGUGAGCAGUGCUUCUUAUAUUAACAGUAUGGGGAGAGAGAUAUUAGCAUAUGAAUAAGCAACGGCUAACUCCGUG
rnacentral:rRNA from 1 species